UCUGCCUCAACACAGCCCUGCAGUGCCAGGAGCUCCCAUAGAACAAAGCAGUGCAGAGGCAGCACUGAGCAGAGCCCCAGCAGUGCUGGCGACUUGGAGCUGAGGGCACUGUGGAUGUGAUGAGCAGAUUACGAUGCCCAUGCACUACAGCUGCUGUCUGCGAGGAGCUGGGGAGCUUUGAAGGUGACAAAGCCAGCAGGAUGCACAGAGAACCCGGCAUCACCGAACAGAAGGGAUCCAGGCAGAGACUGAAGUGAAGCAGCUGGUGAACCACCUGUGUUACAGCCACAGAGAGCAGCAGUGCCACAGCCUUACUGACACACACCCAGCUCCUUAUCCUGUGCUCACAGCACACAUUUGGGCAGGACUCAGCUGCUCAGAUUUACUGAUGGCAAACCUCCUUCAAGGAGCGCCUCAUUUUUGCAACUGCUUGCAACUGGAAGCAAACCCACAGAGCUCUGAAAUUCUCUGCAGAAGCUGUGAGACGGGUUUUGAGUCAUUGCAAACAUUUUGGUUUGACAUUCUGAUGUGAGACGCUACAGAAUUUCAAAGAUAAAAAGUGCUUCAAAGCGGAAGCUUUCAUCCUCAGAAGCCUGCAGCAAAGUUUUGACAGCACUGCAUUUUCCUACUAAAACGCUGCCUAUAUUUUUGCAAGCAAGUUCUAAACUGCAUUUCCUGUUUUUCUAUCAAAUGUACUCUGGCAUGUUUUAUGGUUCAUUAAUAACACCCUGCACUCCCCACGCACCCCAUGCACCCACACCUGCGGUACCUAUGGAGGACAGCAGCCCCUAGCAGUCAGCAUUGGGCUGAGCAGCUCCCCCUGUGCGGUGCCCCUGGAAGAGGCUGCUCAGCUCUUCCCAAAGACCUGACUGCAGAGAUCCUGCAACAAAACAUCUCUUUACAUCCUGUGAGCCACCUGGAAGCAGCAAUAAUUGAAGCGCUGCCAUACAGAGCUGGCAGAAAUGCCUUUUGGACGCAUGCAAAGUUCUGCACAGCUUUAUGCAACAAGAACCGGGCAAUUGAGCUCAUUCUGGUGUAAGAGGUACAAACUGCAUGGAGCUUUCCGUGGCUGCAUUGCUUUAUUCCUGGAUUCAACCUCCUUCCACCAUCCCGAGACACCAAAACCCGCACCUGCACAGUAACGGCAAGGAGGGCUCAGCGCUUCCAAGCUCACCGCACAUCACCUGCAGUCUGGCCGUGAUUUACUGCACCCACACCGCUGUCCUCCAGCAAAACCUCGGACUCCGCUCGCUUCUGCCUCUCCCACGGACCGCGGCCGAUUCUGACACGGACGCACAGCCGGGCCCACCUCGCUUCGCUGCUCCUCCGCCGUCGCAGCCGGCCCACCCCGCGGCACGCGGCACCCGCACCGCUCCG